CCUGCUCAAUGAAUAUAAAUAGCCGCAUUAACUCUGUGCUAAGGUAGCAUAAUAACUUGUUCUCUAAUUAAGAAAUAGAAUGAAAGGAAAAACGAUUUACGUUCUUUCUUAACUAUAUCAAAUUUAAAUUAUUACAAGAAUAAAAACAUUCUUACAUAAAAGAAAGACGACAAGACCCUAAAAACUUCAAUUUAAAAUUUAACUGGGGCAGUAUCAUAAAUAAACUUUAUAAAAUAUUUAACCUCCCAAGCUUAUAUUAGAAUCAUCUCAAGUUACUUUAGGGAUAACAGCGUAAUUUAUAUUUAUAGAUCCUAUAAAAAUAUAAGAUUGCGACCUCGAUGUUGAAUUAAUACUACUACGAUGAGCACAAACAUCUUUAAGUAAGUCUGUUCGACUUUUAACCUAUUACAU
rnacentral:rRNA from 1 species